GGAGAGGUCGCAUAGUGGUCUAGUGCGCGUCCCUGGAAAGGACGUAUGUCGCAAGGCAUCGAGGGUUCAAAUCCCUCCCUCUCCG
rnacentral:tRNA from 1 species